UACGUAGGGGGCAAGCGUUGUCCGGAAUCAUUGGGCGUAAAGCGCGCGUAGGCGGCCCUGUAAGUCCGCUGUAAAAGUCAAAGGCUCAACCUUUGAAAGCCGGUGGAUACUGCAGGGCUAGAGUCCGGAAGGGGCGAGUGGAAUUCCUGGUGUAGCGGUGAAAUGCGCAGAUAUCAGGAGGAACACCGAUGGCGAAGGCAGGUCUCUGGGCCACUACUGACGCUGAGAAGCGAAAGCAUGGGGAGCGAACAGG
rnacentral:rRNA from 1 species